rnacentral:rRNA from 1 species
UAGUCCACGCCCUAAACGAUGUGUGCUAGGCGUCGGGGGCUUGCCCUUCUGUGCCCCAGGUAACCCGGUAAGCUAGCCGCCUGUGCAGUACGAUCGCAAGAUUAAAACACAAAGGAAUAGACGGGGACCCACACAAGCGGUGGAUCGCGGGGUUUAAUUCGUCAAUAAGCGUGUAACCUUACCAGGGCUUGACAUCCUUAUCGUACCUUCUAGAGAUAGUUGGGUCGGUUCGGCCGGAUAAGUGACAGGAGGUGCAUGGUUGUCGUCAGCUCGUGCCUUGAGGUGUUCGGUUAAGUCCGUGAACGAGCGCAACCCUCGUCGUAUGUUGUAUUUUCAUGCGAGACUGCCGGUCAUAAACCGGAGGAAGGUGAGGAUGACGUCAAAUCAGCAUGCCCCUUAUGGGGCUGGGGCUACACACGUGCUACAAUGGGCAGAUACAGUGGGGCAGCUACACCGCGAGGUGAUGCUAAUCCCCAAAAUCUGUCUCAGUUCGGGAUUGUUCUCU